rnacentral:rRNA from 1 species
UACUCGAGUGGCGAACGGGUGAGUAACACGUGGGUGAUCUGCCCUGCACUUCGGGAUAGGCUUGGGAAACUGGGUCUAAUACCGGAUAGGAGCCAUCUUUAGUGUGGUGGUUGGAAAGUUUUUUCGGUGUAGGAUGAGCUCGCGGCCUAUCAGCUUGUUGGUGGGGUAAUGGCCUACCAAGGCGGCGACGGGUAGCCGGCCUGAGAGGGUGUACGGCCACAUUGGGACUGAGAUACGGCCCAG